AGUUUGCAGCCAUACCGGAAUGGGAGGUCAGACAGAGCAGUCUAUUUGUGGCAAUAAGAUAUCAAAUUAUAAACAGAACUGAAGGCCAUGCCAGACAAGGGUUAAGUCACACAGCCUUGGACUUAAAAAAUAAACUAUGCUCCAACUGCUACAAGGCUUUUCUUUUUCUCAAGGAGGUAAACAAGCACUGGCCUCAAGAUAAGCAAUAUUAAAACAACUACAGCUCAUCCAACUCUUAGACACUGACUUCCAGCCCCUGUUCCACCAGAUAUACCUUUCAUUAAACAAGAUCCUGAUUUCAGUAACUUUCUCCAGAGAAGAAGACCACCGACCUUAGACUGGUUCUGGUUGGAUUAAAGAGAGUGUACCCUUGCAUGCCAUUGUGUCCUGCAAGACAUUUUGACGUAUAGAACCUAAUUAUAAAACCAUUAAAUGUUAAGUCUCUACCCCGAAGUGGACAAGGAUUGUAUGUUACAUGCAUUUUUGUUCAAUAUGCAUGUGUCAGGAUCAUCUUCAUAAAUAUUCAUAGCUCCGCCUGUAACCAGUUUAAUAUGUAUGUUUAGCCAACCCAUUCGGCAUAAAGCUCUUGCCCCAACCCCUCUUUUUUCAAAGUGCCUGUCUUUGAUCUUGGUUGGACACAUGUUUUCCAGCCUACGGGAUGACCACCUUGCAGAUUGUCACCCUUUAAUUAUGAAGAAAUGAAGUCUCCAUUUCUACUUUCCAAAUUUAUCGAUAUUGUGGUUACAUUUUUUAAGUUAGCAGUUAUUUAGACCUUACUUUUUUCUAGGCUCUUUGUUGUCUCAUAUUGUGACUGGGCUUGGCUGGAUGACCAGCAGUGCCAUUUCUUCUUCUGAGGGGGAGUAACUAGACAUUUCCCACCUCCCUUACAGUUCAGUGUGGUUAUGUGACUGGUUUCUAGCCAAUAGGAACUAAGAUGAUGUCUUCCCAACAUGAUCUUUGGCUCUCUCUCUUUUUCCAAAUAUAUAGCAAGAAGGAAAGGAUUUCAAGUCACUAGGAAUGAUGGAACCACAAAAUAGAAGGAACUUGAAUAGAAGGAACUUUGAAUAGAAGGAUUGAAAGAAAGCAGAGCCUCUCUUUCAAUCCGCACUGGACUGUGGCAAGAUCAAGAAAUUAACAUUGAAUGUGUAAGCCACUGAAAAUUUGCAGAUGUUGGUUAGUACAUACUGAUUAAUGCACCUAUUAAGAUAAACUUAAGAGUAGGUUUUGAAUAAUUCAAAUAUCCUACAAAAUUCAGGUAGGUUUGGAAAAUUUGCAAGGACUUUAUUAAUAUUAUUUAUUCUCUAUCUCCUAGUAAUGCCACUGAACUUUUAAUUAUGUAAGGGUUGGAAAGUGCCAACAUCUACCUGUAGACAUAGCUUCUCAAUACUGGAUUUUGGUUAAUCAAUGCAAAGGAAGAGGCAAAGUAAGAUUCUUUCAAUUAAUCUGUCCUUGAAUGUGAAGAACUCUUGUUAGCAUUUCUUCUACUCAGUAGAAAAGUAGUACACCCUGGUUUUCUCUAUUUGCAAAUGUUAAAGUUUUUCUUGGUGGAAGCACAUUGAUAAAUGAGGCAUCUUAGGACUAGAAGAAAUCUUAGGAAUGAUACAGUCCAGUCCACUUACAGUUCAGUACACAUUCCAUUUUAGAAUGGAAGAAAUUUAGGAACUGAAAGUAUGAGUGAAACUGAUAGUUGCUGGCACAGCCAAGAAUCAAACUCAAGUUUCCUGACUUCUUACUUUUCAGUGUUGUUUUCACGACAGUGUUCCCAACCAUUACUCCCACCCCUACAUAAGCCUUAUGUCCUAUGGCAUGGUUAAGUUAGAAAAACAGAAGGUUAACAUUUGUGUCAUUUGUUAUCAGUUUUCCUUGUAAGACUUCCUGAAAUAAUCGUCAGCAUUCAAAAGCAAGUUUAAAAGAAGAGCAAAAUGCUUUGGAGUGAAAUUAUGGCUUAUCAAGAGUAUGAAUUUUUGGUGAAAAAAAUGGAUAUUGAAAACAAAAUUAAAAGAUAUUGGCUGUUUGCUUAAAUAUCCUCAGAAUAAUGGCUAGUGUAAAAAUUAGCACCAUUGAUAUACCCAUAGCAGGUGAGCAAUUAAGUGAACCAAGAGCACUUUGCUUUAAUGUACAUGAAAGUGCUUUGAAGAGUGUAAGAAUGAUUCUUAUGUUAGUUGUUGCAGUAAUAAUCCUAGGAGCAUACACAGUGGGUGCUCAGUAAAUGUUGACUGAUGCUUUCCUUCUGCCUCCAGGCUGCGCAAUACCUAAAACAUUUCAGACAGAUGAAAAUCUGAUCUCUGUUUAAAGUUGGUCUCUGAGAAAGAUAAUUUUCAGCCUCCUGAAAAUGGAAUAUUCCACAAUCUUGUUCUCAAAUUCCUACAUGUCUACAACUCUCUGACUUGAAAGGCAGCUGUCUCUUUUAGGUGUUCCCACUCCGUAACCUUUGGAGUCAAUGAGGCCCCCGAUCUGAGUGAGGUUGCAGUUUCUCUGCGUCACAUACUCAAUGCUGGUGGACUCCAUCAGCAGCGCGUAGUCUGUGGUGGAGAUUUUUGAUUUCUGGAGGGAAAGAAAACACACUCACCAGCAGAAGAGGGCUGGAAAAAUACGACCUAAAGAUCAUCUGCCGAAUCUAUGGGGGAUUCCAUUCUCUCUACUGUCAAGAAGGCAGCCAGAUUGGCCGUGUAGGAUGAAAUGAUGAUUAGGGUGAAAAACCACCAUAUCCCUCCAACUAUUCUGGUCGAUAGAGCUUUGGGCAUCAGCUCUGAUCCUGUGAUGGUAUCAUCAGAGUAAGGGUGUUAAACACAGUCAGAAGGAAAGGGAAGAUGUACAGUUCGACACUAUUCUAGGAAGAUCAACCUGUAAAAGACUUACCGUCUUGUAGGUAGAUGAAAUAAAUGCAUUUUAUAGAAAAUGGAGCAAAAUCUUAAGGAUUAUUUUCAAAUCAUUAAUCACUACUAUUGCUUUAACUAUAAUUUAUCAGUAGCUGAUGGUAUUAAAACAGUUUUAACCUGGAGGCAUUCCAUGUCUAAAAUUUAGUUAGUUUAGUUGCUUAGAAUUGAAAAGUCAACCCCAAGACUUUUUGCCUUUUAUUACUGUCUAAAUGCAUCUUAUAGUGUGAAGUAAAAUAUUCUGCGUCUUUGUAUAACUAUGAAAAUAUUUGAAAUGCUAACAUUUUUAUUUAAGGUUAAAGAAUGAGAGCUACUUGUAAAAUAUUAACAUGCCAUUUAUCACAUAUACUUUAAUAAAACAUUGGGAUUUUACAAAUAAAAUAAGAUGCAGCCAUA
rnacentral:lncRNA from 1 species